rnacentral:rRNA from 1 species
CCUACGGGUGGCAGCAGUGGGGAAUAUUGGACAAUGGGCGCAAGCCUGAUCCAGCAAUGCCGCGUGUGUGAAGAAGGCCUUAGGGUUGUAAAGCACUUUCAGCAAUGAAGAAGUUGUAUUGGCUAAUAUCCAAUAUAAUUGACGUUAGUUGCAGAAGAAGUACUGGCUAACUCUGUGCCAGCAGCCGCGGUAAUACAGAGAGUGCAAGCGUUAAUCGGGAGUGUUGGGCGUAAAGGGGGUGUGGGUUGAUUCCCUGGGCUUAAGCUAGGAAGUGCAUUUAAUACUUUUUAUCUAGAGUAUUGUAGGGGGAAGUGGAAUUUCCGGUGUAGCGGUGAAAUGCGUAGAUAUCGGAAGGAACACCAGUGGCGAAGGCGACUUCCUGGACAAAUACUGACACUGAGACACGAAAGCGUGGGGAGCAAACAGGAUUAGAUACCCCAGUAGUC